UCUUAGUGACUUCCUGUGACUCCCAGAAUGCUUUUCAAAAACUCCCAGAAAAGGUCUGUGAUGAUGGAUGUCUUCCUGUAUGAGCCCUGCUUGUGUCUUUUCCGGCCAGCAGCAAUCAGUGGAUGAUUAACAACUAAGACAAUCAGUUUGCUCCCGGGUGCCUGGUGGACUGUACCACACUAUGAAUCUCCCCCUACCCUCACCCUUGCAGUGGGCCGCUCCCCCUUCUUCACCGCUCGCUUUGGUGGAAGCGAAGCCCAAACAGAACAUCAUGGCGAUUGAUGGUGGCGAACGUAACUGUGGAGUACAUGAGCUGAUCUGCGUCAGAAAAGUCUCUCCAGAGGUGCUGGGGUUUCUGACAGCCAUUGGACUCUUCAUCAUCCUCGUGACCCUCCUGUUCUGGUACCUGAACAACAAGUUGGCUCUAGAGAACCCAGGGAGCCUUCAGUGCCUAGAUGACUUCAGGAAAAAAGCCGAGUUGCAAGACAAGACCUACUCUGACGGCGACUUGCAGGGCUCGUCAUCGGACAGCGAGGAUGAACUGAUGGGUCAGUAUCAGGAAGCGGUCAGCCGCUCCCAAGGCCUCCGGGGAGGAGCCAAGGCAGCCGCUAAUACCAAACACGCAGGAGGUUUCAGCUGGGAGAGCCGGCAGAAGUACAGCCCUCUGACUGCCGAGUAUAACGGCUACAGCAGUGACGCCUCGGCUGACGACGCCAACUGCAUCCAGAGGAUGAGGCGAACGCCACCGCUGGAUGAGCUUCAGCCACCUCCUUAUCAGGAUGAGAACGGCUCUCCAAGGAUGUCCUGUACGCUGUCUGACCUGGGAGACGCCAAGUGCGAUCUGUCCUAUACCAGCGGCAGUCCCCACCUGUCCUUUGGCAAAUGCCCCAGUGAGUGCAGCGACGGCCCUGAGACUGAGAGUUACCUCAACAAGGGCUACGAGGAGGAUGUACCGAGCGACAGUACAGCUGUCCUCAGCCCAGAGGACAUGUCAGCCCGUGGAUCCGCAGCUCAGCUCCCUAAAGGUUAUGAACCAGAUCCAGUUGCAAAAUAUGGCACUCUGGACGUGGUGUUUGACUACGACUCAGACGAUCAGCAACUGGCAGUCACCAUCACGGCAGUAUCGGAUCUUCCCGCCCUAAAACGCACAGGCAACAUCUCCUGGCAGGUCCACCUGGUGCUGCUGCCCACCAAGAAGCAGAGAGCCAAGACAGGAAUCCAGAGAGGUCCGUGCCCAAUCUUCACCGAGACCUUCCGCUUCAGCCACGUGGAGUCAGAGAUGAUCAGCAAUUACGCCAUCCGAUUGCGCCUUUAUAGUAUGCGGCGGAUGAAAAAGGAGAAGGUGCUCGGGGAAAAGGUGUUCUAUCUCACCAAGCUCAACCUUCAGGGCAAAAUGUCUGUGCCGGUCAUAUUAGAUCCAUGCUGUGCUCUUCCGGGUGGUGAAUCCCAAGUCAGCCUCUCAGAUAUGACAUGCAGUGAAAGCGCCUCAUCAUUCCAGUCAGUCAGUCAGACUUCCACACCAGAGAUCCUCGUGGGUCUGGUGUACAACGCCACGACAGGACGUCUCUCAGUGGAGAUCAUCAAAGGCAUCCAUUUUAAAAACCUGUCUGCCAACAAGCCACCCAAUGGGCUGUUCUGUUGUCUAAAACACUUGAUAGGUGGACAGGUUUAUAUUAUCAGAGAUACAUAUGUUAAGCUGACCUUACUGAACUCCAUGGGCCACGAGAUGUCCAAGUGUAAGACAUCCAUCUGUCGAGGUCAACCCAACCCAACCUACAAAGAGACGUUUGUCUUCCAGGUAGCACUCUUCCAGCUAUCGGACGUCACGCUUAUCCUGUCCGUCUACAACAAGCGCAGCAUGAAGCGUAAGGAGAUGAUUGGCUGGAUUUCGCUCGGCCUCAACAGCUCUGGAGAGGAGGAGCUCACCCACUGGACUCAGAUGAAAGAGUCUAAAGGACAGCAGGUUUGCCGCUGGCACAGUUUGUUGGAGUCCUAACAGCAAGAGAACAGUAAGUGAAGAGAGUGCGUGAGGAUAACUGCACAGAGCAGUUGUCAUCCCAGACGGGCGAGAAAUGGAGUUCAGCUGGGAUAGAGGAAUGUGACAGACGUCCAGGGAACCAGGGUCAGUGGGGGUGAAGGAAAAGACAGAACAACAUGUGUCUGCACUCAGAGUUGUUUCAGCUUGGCACAGCAUAUUAAGCAUUUUUAUUGCACUUGUUUGUAAAACCACUGUUGAUUAGUCGUAUGGCUAGUAAUGGGAUGUAAUUUAUUUUCAUGGAUUGCCUUGUAAUGACCUUUACGUUUCUGUAAAUGGCACUCUGUUUUUGUCUGUUGAACUGGUUGAGCUGGGACCUGUUCCAAGAAACAGGUUCUGGGCAACGUUGUUGAGUAAAUUAUUGUCUGAUAAUUUUGCGUUUCCACACCUCCAGCUCAAACAACUGACAUGAGGAUUAUUGUAAAUCUUAUCCGAAAGGUUUACAACAUGAAACAUGGCCCCUCUCUUUGUUUUUGUGCCUGCAUACAACAAGAUUUUGUCAUGUAUUUAAGGGUUGACCAAAAAUAGUUCACAAUUUAGAAGCCAGCAGAACAUGGAUGUGCAUGGCCACUUUUCAAAUCAGUAGUAGGUAGUUAUUUUCAAAUUUGUCAGUUUCUUAUAGGGACAAUCUUACUACAGUGUGGUGAACACAAAAUAUUCUACUAAAGUUAGAACAGUUUUGUUUAUUUUACAUGAGAGAUUUUUAUAUUUGUGUUCUUGCUCCUUGUUUUUCCUCACUGGUUUGAAGUGGGCAUGGCUUAGUUGGAAAAAGGUGAUGAUGUCAUGUGUUACCAUGCACCAGUCAGAGUUAAGCAGGCAACAUUUCAAAAUCAUUUGUGGGAGUGCUUAUGUUACCAGUAACCACACCCACAGUUUUUGAGUGGCUAAAUAUUAUAUUAACUUAAUAAUAUAUUAAUACUAUAUUAUUUAUUUUUCCAAAAGUUAACUUGCUAUAUUGAAUAUUCAAUGUUAUAGAGAAGUGCUUUAAAAACCAGGUUAUCGGUGUUUUAAGCCAUUUUUAUGGUACGAGAAACCACAUUUUGCCUUUUUUACCCCGGCUAGCUAACUAAUUGUAGCAACUUUCUUGUUACAUGAGUAAACAGGGCAGCACCAGUGCCAUGCUCUGCCUGGGAGAAAACACCACCACCAGUGUACUUUUCUACUUAGCUCUGAAUUUCUCCAGAUGUCUGUUGUUUAAGCCAGAGGUGUGGCUACAUGAAGAAGCUACCAUCACUGCUUAUGUUUGCUACAGUAGCUACAAACAUAAACCGCACCACUUCUUCCAUGUAGGGAAGACGUUAAAGAAACAAGUUUCAUGAAUUUAAUAUGGAUACAAUUUAGGUUAAAUCGCCAUGUUGUUGAUGAAUGUUGCUGAGUAUUACUUUGCCAAAGCUUCAUUUGCCACAUCCCAAUGUGUCUACUGCAAAUGUAUUACAAUUACUUGUUGCGUUCAAAUGUGCAGGACUCUGGGAAUGGAGGCAUGUUGAAAGAUAUUUUGAAGGCCAAAGAAGUGGUGGCCAUUUUGGAACUUAUAAAGAAUUGAUCUACACUUUUUAUGAAUCUCAGUCGACACUGCCGAGGCUAAACCCCUCAACAUUGUUUGAGCCUCAACUUAAGUAUAUAUAAAACAUCAACUAAAUAAUUUUAGACAGGCAAAUGUCAGGCAAAUAAAAUUCUUGACAUAUAACCUGACAGUGGAAGUGUCAUGGUUGAUGUUGAGAUGAAGUUCAGUAGUGAUCUCUGAGAAGAAUUAAGCAUUUCACAUUGUUAGAUAUUGUUUUGAAAACACCAGUUUGCGGAAGCAAUGACAGACUGAGAUAGGUUAUAUAUAGAAAUAUGUAGUAGUUACUGUGGUGGUUGUGUGAUCUUGAGUUUCCAUGCACUAUUAAAAAGUCACACAGAAUGUCAAAAGCAUAUUCAAAGACAUUUAAAGACACUUUUUUAUGGGUACCAAAUAACUUGGUCACAUAUCAUAGCAGUGAAGCUAACAAGUGAAAAGAAAAUAUACCUGUUAAUCUCUUUUACCCGCUCUGGUGCUAAUUAGUGCUGUGGCUGCACGCACGGAAUCCCUUGCCUUAUGGUUUAGUCAGUUCAUAAAUUACUGUAAGUGGACCCAGUACAAGAACAGACACAGAUACACCCUCAGAGCACACAAACCAUAAUUACAGGAAGCACACGCACAGCACCAUUCAACCUCACUAAAGGGAAUUCAAACUGUUUUCAUAGGAGCCUCAGUGUGCAUUGACAAACUUGCAGAAUGUCUACAUGCGAAUGGGUUGUAUGUUUAGCUGUGGACACUUUCUCACUUCAUUUCAUUUACAGACAACAGAAAAUACAUAUACUCUUUACUGUGCCUGUGGUUGUGGUGAAAGCUAGCUUUGUGCAGUGUUUACCAAGUGGAUGUGUUGUGUGUGUGUGUGUGUGUGUGUGGUUGUGUGUGUUGACUGGAAAGGUACAGUGGGGAAGCUGUGAUAGUUGUUGUAUUUUCUCGUUGGUUGUGACAAUUUCUGAAUUUAUUUACCUGUAUUUAGAAUGCAGUAACACACUUCUUGAAUGUCUGCCAUAUACUUUAUAUACAGUAAAUGUGUUGUUAUCUAUUUUUGUAUCAAUAAUGGGGAGGAAAUUGUGUUCAGACAGUUAAAUAGUGAAUCACAUAUUAACCCACCCUGUGAGCAAUACUAUUCUGGAUUGCUAUUGUUUAUUCUGUUCCUUUAUUUAAUGUUUUAGAGGCGUUAUGUCUUAGUAGCUCUGGUCCUCUUUACAUCCCCUUCUCUAAAACCAGAAAGGGAUGUGACAGAAACCAGCAGAGCUCAUCUUAAAAUCAAUCUGUCAAGACUUUUGAUGCUUUUUAACAGUGUGAAACAGAAGCACAGCCUUUACAGCACAACAGUCAAACACACCGUGUAAAAGCUUGGCAGUAGCUCACUUGUACAUGUAGAGAUACCUCAUAUCAUUGGAAUCCAAAUUUCGCCCAAAGUUAAAAAAAAAAAAAUCCACUCAAUGCAAUAUUUGUUUUAUGAUCAGGCUGGAUCAUUUGAUUUGACUUUAGUAAAUUCAUUCUUAUGUCUUGCAUUUAACUGCCAGCAGAAAAAGGGGAGUGAUCUUGUUAAAUCAACAGAAGGUGUGCAGGAAUAUAAAUAGUGUGAUCUUUCACACUGUUAGUGGGUGUCUGAUGCUCCAUAGUCAAGCCUAUUAUCAGUUAAGAAGUUGAUUUCUGUGCAUCCUGGAAUGAUGCACAAUGGUGACAAAAAGGUUCUUCAACAACUCGUCACAGAAAAAUUGUUAACGUUUUUUUAACGUUAAGAUCGGGUCUUGCUACCAAGCUAUGGAAGCAAAAAUAGGCCAAAAGGAUUUUAAUCUUGCAAGCAACUGAAUAUCUAGAUGUGGGAUUUAAAUUAUAAUAAAUCCCCCUCUUAAAGAAUAAUUAGAAUGCACACUUGAUUUGAAAUGUUUAAGGGUAUGCAAAUUCAGAUGGAAAAUUGUGCCCAAAAUUUAAGAAAAACUACAUUCAUGUCAUUUUCAGAUCUAAAAUUUCAAGUUGAGUAAAAAAACAAAAACAAAAAAAAACAUCAGAGUGCUAAAACUGGAUAGGGGAAAUUCAGAAACAAGAUACAAAAAUAAAACCGGAUAAGACCUCUGUCUUUGAAUUUGUGAAACAGUUUUGAAAUUCAAACUACAUACAUUGAGAUAUAUGGUUUUUAAAGUUAUUAAUGCUAUUAAUAAAGUAGUAUUUAAAAUUCUACGUUAAGUAUUCAGUAGUAGUUAUGUUUCACAGUAAGGUACUCAGCUGCAUUUAAAAUUCAUUUUAUGGCCAUCCUUUGCUCCUGUACAAACCAACACAAAGGCCGGGUCGAACAAUUUUCUAUAGCUCUUUGUUCUGCUAAUCUUUCACAAGAUGUGUUCCACUAAUAAGGUUUUUAAAACAAUACGGCUAUGCUUUGCAGUAUAGUUUCUUGUGCUUUGAUUUCCUUGACACAUUUCCAAAAAUCCCCUGUUUAAAUGCUGGUUUUAAUUUGUGUUUUUUUUUCUUUUAGUUUGGAAACUACCUAUGCCACAGAUGGCAUUGGUGCCUUACUGUUUUUCACUCAGCAACCUUGUGUCACAGUGUCUUAAUGUACUUGUACAUAUACUUUUCUUCUGUACUUCAGGCUGAGUUUGAUUUGUAAAAUGUCUUACAAAUUGAUUUAUGAUAGACAGAGUUUAUAUGUGAUAUUGUUUAAAAAAAGAAAAGACA